AGAGUUUGAUCAUGGCUCAGAACGAACGCUGGCGGCAGGCCUAACACAUGCAAGUCGAACGAAGCCUUCGGGCUUAGUGGCGGACGGGUGAGUAACGCGUGGGAACGUGCCCUUCUCUACGGAAUAGUCCUGGGAAACUGGGUUUAAUACCGUAUACGCCCUUCGGGGGAAAGAAUUUCGGGGAAGGAUCGGCCCGCGUUGGAUUAGGUAGUUGGUGGGGUAAUGGCCUACCAAGCCGACGAUCCAUAGCUGGUUUGAGAGGAUGAUCAGCCACACUGGGACUGAGACACGGCCCAGACUCCUACGGGAGGCAGCAGUGGGGAAUCUUAGACAAUGGGGGCAACCCUGAUCUAGCCAUGCCGCGUGAGUGACGAAGGCCCUAGGGUCGUAAAGCUCUUUCGCCAGGGAUGAUAAUGACAGUACCUGGUAAAGAAACCCCGGCUAACUCCGUGCCAGCAGCCGCGGUAAUACGGAGGGGGUUAGCGUUGUUCGGAAUUACUGGGCGUAAAGCGCGCGUAGGCGGACUAUUAAGUCAGAGGUGAAAUCCCGGGGCUCAACCCCGGAACUGCCUUUGAUACUGGUAGUCUUGAGUUCGAGAGAGGUGAGUGGAAUUCCGAGUGUAGAGGUGAAAUUCGUAGAUAUUCGGAGGAACACCAGUGGCGAAGGCGGCUCACUGGCUCGAUACUGACGCUGA
rnacentral:rRNA from 1 species